rnacentral:rRNA from 1 species
UACGGAGGGGGCUAGCGUUGUCCGGAUUUACUGGGCGUAAAGAGCGCGCAGGCGGUCGAUCAAGUCGAGUGUGAAAGCCCCCGGCUCUACUGGGGAGGGUCAUUCGAUACUGAUCGACUCGAAGGCAGGAGAGGGUAGUGGAAUUCCCGGUGUAGUGGUGAAAUGCGUAGAUAUCGGGAGGAACACCAGUGGCGAAGGCGACUACCUGGCCUGUUCUUGACGCUGAGGCGCGAAAGCUAGGGGAGCAAACGGG